AGCUCAAAUUUGAAGUAGAGUAGAUUACUAGUAUCAACUAACCCUAAUUAACUACUCUACUUCGAGUUUGGGCCC
rfam:Haemonchus contortus, ISE/inbred ISE, WGS project CAVP01000000 data, contig: Hcontortus_contig_pathogens_Hcontortus_scaffold_5525